CUGGCCGUCCACCGCUAGCUUCAGAGCUGCCAUGCCAUCCAAGUUCAGCGUCAGCAGCGCACACAACGCCGGCACAGGCCUCCACUGAAUUUGUCUGCCCUUAGAGAAAAGAAAAAGAAGAAGAAAAAAACAGGUGAUCUUUCGAAACAGACUUCACAGGUAAUCAAGUAUGGUGCGAUGUCCAUGGGAGAGCUCCUUGUCACACUCCAUGACAGCGAGCCAUCAGAUUUUAGGAAGCUAUACAUAUGGUGGGUAAGCCUGAGAAAAGGUCUGGAUGCUUCAUUGUAAAAGGCAACGGUUUGUGGCAGGCAGUGUAGAAAAAAAAAACUGAAUUUUGGGGGAGGAGGACAAAGAAGAUCAGACGAACCUGCUGCUGUGCGGGGGCCUGUGUCUCGGCCUCCCAAUCUGCAACGAACAGAGGUCCAGUCCGGGUUCGGCUGAAGCCUAAUCGACCAGAUGGGCCUAAGUAGGCCGGGAACGUUUGCAAAGGGCCUGCUGAUUUAUCUGCUUCUGCUUAGCAGACCGUGCAUGCGCGGAAAUAUUAGCAAUUUUACCUCUUUUUUUGUUUUACUUUUUACGAAACGGUGACAAUUUACUCUAACUUGUACUUCCUCUUGCUCCAACAGACAAGCUCCUUUGGUUGGAUGAGAAGACGAAUAGACGAUCACCACUCAUGCCAUAUCCCAGAUACUGAAGCGACAGCGGACUAGCGGUGGCGGCUCCUAGACGCACCGUGUUGCCGCCGCCGGCGAUGCAGUGGCGGUUUGCAGAAGCCAAGUGAACUUCAGUGUUUGAGUAUUGUUUCUCUUGUGCCUAUGUUCCUUCGCGUCCUAAUCCUAUUGAACUUCUGAUUUCAGUUACUGACUGUUCUUACCGUGGUGCUGAUUCAGAGGGACGACCAAGUCAUCAUCAUCUGCUAACCUACGACCCUGAAUUAUUUCUGAUUCAAUAAUCACUGGUUUCCCUACACGUGUAUGCUCGAUGUGGGUUUCUUCGUCUAUGGGAUGACGUUCUGAACUUCUGCAUUACCGGCACGUUUUCCCAAAGUCACUGGCCUGCAGAACCAUGUUUAAGAAAGUAAUCACAGUAGGGAGUUCCUAGAAAGGUCGUCUGUGUACGUAGUUUUGCAAGAACAUAUGCUGUUUUAUUUUGCAUUCCACCUUUAGUAGGUCAUGCUUUGAGUUCGCACAUUUUUUUUCUCUCUCUCUCUUUUGCUAACAACCGAACGAUUUCACCAUGCACAGUAUUCAGGGCUAUUCCUUUUUUUUUAGGAUAACACUAUCUGUUCUCAUGGUUAAUAUAUGGCAUGAACUACUACGAUUUAAUUUAUACUGUUAUGAUAGCAUCCUUGCAAGGUAGAACCCUGCUUCUUUAUGUACCGAACUUACCUAUAUUUUUAUUGGUUCUGAAGCUUGGCAUAUAUAAUAAUUGAUUAAUCGUUUGAAAUUACAGGAAAUUAUUUAAGUUUCAGUGCUUUCGUUCUUUCGUCAAACAUUUUGUAGCUGGAUGGUUACAAGUAUAGUUUCGGGAGCCUCCGUGAGUACCUCUAGGUCUACUACUCCUCACUUUUAGACUACAUAUGUUUCCUAUUUUCGAUGAUGGAUUAGCAAUCUGUCAUGGGUCAAUCUAACUUUUUGCUCUGUUUUUCACUCUUUGGCUUGGAGGUACACAUGCACACAACGGUUCUUUAAAAAACAUAUAAAUGACUUCUUUAUUCUAAUCAUGGCUUCUGCCACGACAUUUGAUCAGUUCAUCAGAAGUAUAUGGUGUAUCCAGAGAAAGUUUUGAGCUUUCCGCCUUUCCCAUAUCUUAAUUCAGUUUUGGGCAUUCAGGUGUUGCCAUAUCCAGCACGCAAACAAUAAUGAGAUCGGUAAUUGAAGAGAGUGGGGAUGUCCAAGCACAGAUUGCUCAUGCUUACUCCAAAAAGUCUGCGUAUUCCAAGAGCAUUUUCUCGCUGAGCGGACAACGUCUCUAGAUCGCUGAGCAGUGAGCGCGCUAACUCACGACAAGAUUUUAGUUUGUUUACGUGCGGUGUAGAUCGAUCAUAAUUUCACAUAUUUAUGCACGCUUCGCUAACCCUGAUAUACCGAUGAAUAAUCUUUCUGAACGAAAUGCUACGGAAGUAGUAGUAGUAGUACUCCUGCUAUUGAUUCAUUUUCUUUAGAGCUGUCAUGUGUUGCUUGGAGUGCUGUAAACAAAGACUCGGCUAGCUCCAAAGCAAAGGAAAAGGAAUUCGUGGCUGGACCGGCCGGACAAAAACCAUGUCGCUGGAGAGAGCUCGGCGAUGAUGGCGCCGCCGCCGUUUGUUGGUAUCCAAAUCCAUAUCCGAUGGGCUUGUCGUUGGCGAGCGGUGGCCGGUGGCUUGGUGCGACAGCGAAAGCUUGCUGUGUGUCGUGUGCGGAGCGG